GACGAACGCUGGCGGCGCGCCUAACACAUGCAAGUCGAACGAGCGAGAGAGAGCUUGCUUUCUCGAGCGAGUGGCGAACGGGUGAGUAACGCGUGAGGAACCUGCCUCGGAGUGGGGAAUAACAGUCCGAAAGGACUGCUAAUACCGCAUAAUGCAACGAAAUCGCAUGACUUUGUUGCCAAAGAUUUAUCGCUCUGAGAUGGCCUCGCGUCUGAUUAGCUAGUUGGCGGGGUAACGGCCCACCAAGGCGACGAUCAGUAGCCGGACUGAGAGGUUGGCCGGCCACAUUGGGACUGAGACACGGCCCAG
rnacentral:rRNA from 1 species